ACCUCAGAGAUCAAAUGUACUUCCGUAAUUCGAGCUCCAAUGACCCUGAGUCUACCCGAUCAACUCUUGACAACUCAUAUUCUCCUGAAGGCUCGAUAAUGCACUCCGAAUAUAUGAGAUAAGUUAUAAAAACCAAUUUCGUAGUCGUAUUUAUAAGUCCUAAAAGCAACAAGCUUAAUAGUCAAUCUUCAUAGCAUGUUCAUUAGAGUAAUUCAUUCUCACCAUUGAUUUUGUUGAACACGCCAAAUAUUAUUGCAUUUAAAAUCUCCAAAUUUUUUCAUUUUUGCAUUUAUAUUUCUAAGUUAUUUUUCGUCACAUUCUUAUCAUCAACUUCUAUCAAGUGGUGCAUAGUCUUUGAUAGCAUUUUAUAUUGUCAAAUUCGGUGCAAUAUUAUAUACAAACGUGCAGCGAAAAUAUUGAGGAUAAUAGUAAUUGCAUUACUAAAAAUGCGAAGUUAAAAAGUUUUGAUAGAUGUCAUAGUCAUGGGAUUAUAAAAUCCAUUGACUUAGUGGAGAUGGAAGAUUAUGAAGAAAACUUUUAAAAUUGCAAAAGUUCUUCAUAAUGAUUGCAGGCCACCUUCCACUGAACCAUGGCUAUAACAUGUUCUUGGUUGAUAUGCUAAUGUUUUGUGAUCUUGUCUCCCCAUUACAAGGAAACCCAAUGAGCACUUGUUUUGUAAUUGGUCACCUUAUAAUGGCAAUAGUGCUCCCAAAGAAAUUAUCACAUCACAACUUUAUUUUAUUUUACAUAUCAUAUCAUAUCUGAUUGUCAUUUUGCUCGUUAUGUCCUUGGUGAAUUCGUAAAUUGAAAUUGUAAAGCAUUUUAAGAGUGUGUAGAUAAUUGUUUACAAUGAUCGAAAUAUCUAUAAAAGGAACUCAGUUCUGAUGCUAGAUUAAUUGGUCUAUUUAAAAGUCUUGUAAUUAGCCUACUUGUAUGAGCUCCCAAAAUAUAAGAGCAUUUAGUUAAUAUUCUUGAAUCAACAUGUCAUCAGAGUCAAUACACACUCUUUUACAUGAUACUCAUAUGUUCUUUGUUCGUAUCGAGAACACGUGAGACAUCAUAUUAAGCAAAAGGGCAAAACAGGAAUUUCACGUGAAUGUUACAGAAACACAAACUAGUUGGGGGAGAUACAUAGUGGAAUAAGGGUGAUUGUGGGAGGGUGAAGUGGGGUGUCCACAACUUCACUUAUUAGUGGAUUAACCGCACGCUUCUGACAGCCCAUGGGCUUCGCCGGCCCCACCUUCGUCGGCAGCUGAGAGAGAGAGCACGCCUAUAUCUACUAAUUUUAGACUAACAUACUUUUUUUUUUUUUUUUUGUUAUUAUUAUUUAGGUUGUAGUGUGGAUAUAAAUAUGGAAAUGUCGACAUCGCAAUAUAUACACAUGGUGCAAGUACAUGUCACGGGGAAUUUCGAUAAGAUUUUAUUUAUUCUUAUUUUUUUUAAAAUUCUAUGUGAUAUUAAUUUGAUCUAAUUUGAAAGUUAUUAAUUGAGCAUAAAGUGAAACUUGUACAAAUAUUAAAUACACUCGAGCUGCAUUAGACCAGUUUUUGGGGAUAGAAAUACCAGGAACUUGAUUAGCACUGUGAGGUGGUACAGCCCCUAUCAUAUAAGAUGCUUAAAUAAGAUGUGAACAUUAAAAAUUAAUUGUAAAGAUUAAUUGGGUGUAUUUCUUGGAGUUGGAUUGCGGGUAUAGUAAAUGAAAAUAAAUUACAAUUCUUUAGGGCCUUAGGCCAUUGAAUGGGAAAAAAAAUAAUAGGACGAUCUUAUAUACACACGUGAUAAGAUUUAUGAUACAAUUAUAACAUCUUAGACUUUGAACUACUCAUGUCAUUACUAUCACUUACAACGGACGUAUCCAUAUAAAUUUGACUGCCAAUACAACUAUUAAUGUGAUUAUUUCAACAAUAUUGAAUCAUGAUAUGCCUGCAUCCGAAAUGGUAAGAGAGAGAAAUAAAUGGGUGGUCAAAUUCACUCGAAUGUGGAGGUGUCUUAAUUUGAGUAGGGCGAGGUUCAAGGUAUUACGAUUACAAUGAUUAAUCCUACCACGUGUAUCGAAGACUUUCUCAGCUCAAUAUUGACUAUAAAUUUAGCAUCUAUUUGGCCUUCAUUAAAG
rnacentral:lncRNA from 1 species